UAUAUAUAUAUAUAUAUAUAUAUAUAAAUAUAAAGGGACCCCUGCUGCUGUGGUGUAAAACACGGAUAUUAGACAACACUAACAUAAACACCAACAUUGACUUAUUUUGUCCGAAGACUCUAUUCAUCAGAAGGCAUUUAAAGUAACCAAUCAGAAAGGUUGCUGGCUUGUGUAUUUAAUGCCUGGCCCUAAGGCCCCAAAAGGUGGAGAAGAGAAAAGCCACACUGCGGCAAAUAAGUCCGCGCGUGCAGGUAGCAGAGUUUGCUAUUCAAGCGCAAGGAUUUUGACACUUUGGGUACAUUUUUUUUUUCGUCACACAAACCAAAAAGCUCCACUUUACCUAUUCACCAACACAUUGUGACAAAUGACUGCAUAUUUGCAACCCACUGGCACAGAUACAUUCCAGUCCUCCUGCAUGCUGUUGCUAUGAUGCAUCACGUCUGACCCCCCAUCUAUGACUGCCUAAACACUCUUUAACCCUUUUCCUCUCAGCCUGCAAGUGGUUUGGUGUGGCUGUUAAUACCUUUUUUUUUUUACUAAAUCAACAAACCAUAUCUUUUAAGCGCCAAGGAGAUACUCUUUCUGUGUGACAAAGUUCUCUUUGUCAACUUUGUUCUGGGAGAAGCUGAAGAGAAGCUUUAACCUUCCGUAUUGGAAUUCACACACACACACACACACACACACACACACACACACCGACUCCCCCUGCUUCGCUCCUUUCAUCACGGUCUCAUUGAGAGAGCCCGAGUCUGGCCUGGGACCAAGUGUGUGUUUGACCAGGGCUGGCAGAGUAGAGAUGGUAAUCCAUCACACGGCUAGUCUGGAUGAUGACUUUGUUCCAUGUUGGAACACUGAGGAUGGAGAUAAAAUGUCAUUGAAUUCUUAUUAGCCUCGAGCAAAAUGAGAGAAAGAUAUCUAUCGGCCUUUAUUGUGAUUCCACCCCCCCUUCAUGCUUCCGCAAUUGGUUUUUAUUAUACAGUAAGUGCAAUUUCUAUUGUAUAAGAAAAUGUGAAAUUACAUGUUUAUUUUGAAAUGGGGCCUUAAGGAAGUGUGAUACUGUGUAAUAUUGUAUGUGGAUCGUGUUGACAGACAACUGAAUUAUCUGCUAUUGCCUUGCGACUCGUCUCGGACACGCUAUCAACCUCCAUUGUUUGCGUCCCAGGUGUACGUUAACUGUCAUAGGGAGUGUAAAUACAUACUAAUACUCUUGCAUACCAGCUUUAGCCACGGUUAUUGUUGGUACAGCAAGUCACUCUGAAUGUGGGAGACAGCAAAAGUAUUGCACACAUGCAAAUAGUCUAAGCUCUCAACUUGAGUGCAAGGUGUAUCUGGAGAAUAGUUUCAGUAACUCAUGUGAACCACAGUUAAAGUCCUUAAUAUUCACUUGAACACUAAAGCAUGAACAGCUGUUUUUCUCCCUUGUACUGCCUUUGUAAGACAAUAAAUCAUUGAUUCAGUCUAAUCAAA